UACUGUGUAGCACAAUGGUUUGAGCAUUGGGCUAUCAUUCUAGAGACUGGGGUUUGAAUCCACGCUCAGUCA